rnacentral:lncRNA from 1 species
UUAAAAAAUAUGGAAUAUGCACCAAAACUGAUAUAGCAGAUACACCAAAAGGAAAUUGUAGAAGCAAACUCACAAAACCCAGAAAAAAAAGUCUGCCGAUAGAAGCAAACCAAAUACCCAAAAAAUUCCAGCAAAAGCAAAGAGAGCAAAAAUAAUAGAAAUGGACCCAAGAUAGACAAGAAGAAAGCGAUGAAUCAGAGAAAACAACUAAGUUGCACUAUUAGGAAAAUGUAGUGUGUUGUCUUUGUUGAAUUAAAAAACAUGUGGAAUCAACAUCCUUUAGAAGUAAAUGGAAGAGACACAUACUCUUUUCAGUGCAAAAGUGUAUUGGUAACUGGGAAGUAUGUAAAAAACUGAAGAAGCAUUAGUUGAAGGUGAAGAAAGAAAGAGGUUGUUGUUGUCAUCUAACAUCACUUCUUCCUAUAUGCACCAGCACGCACAUAUAUAUAUAUAUAUAUAAUUAAAACAUGUAUUGCAAAAUAUACCGACUGAAAACAGUUUUGACCAUAUUUAAUUGUUAGUUCUAAGGCUCCAAUGUCAUUCAGCCAAUUGGUCAAACAUAUGGCAUACAAUUUCAUGAAAAUAUAUGAAAGUACGAUAUGAAUUAGCCAUCCUAAAAUAAUUAGGGCAAAGAAAUCACAGCAACCCUUCAUCAAUUUCACACAACCAUCAAAAUAGUCCAAAUAAGAAGAAAAACAAAAGAUAUCUAUGAAAAUCUCAUCACCAUAUAAAGGAAAUAGAACAGAGCCCAAAAACACAAAGAAGGAAAUUGCAAAAACCAACACAUAUCAGCAAAAUCUCAUCACCAAGAAACUCCGCAGAAUUCACAUAUAUGAUAAAUCCCAAAACCAAAGAGCAAAUGAGAAAAUGUAGAAAUCAAGUAAAAGCUAAUGGCCAGAAGAAGACACUUAAAGAAAAGUUGGAAUAGGGUAAUAAUCGAGCAUAAAGACUUAAGACCAAAAUCAAAUUUCAACUCAAAAAGGGAUCAUCACCUGGUUUUUGCCCGUUCUCGGUGCUACGCUUUGAUUGUGGUGAAUUGUUGUUGUACUGAUUUUUCUCCGUGCAUGCCUAGAAAAUUCCAGAUUGGGAUAUUGAGUAGAAAGAGAGAGAAAAGGGAAUUAAGAUUAAGAUGUUAAAGAAAAGAGAUGCACACCUGGAGUCAUAUAACAAUUACAGGUAGACUUAUGGGUAGGCAAAUAAAGCCACGUACAUGUAUGAUACAACAAAAGUGAUGCUAAAUGACUAAAGUGCUCUCAAGCCUUUUGAAAUAGACACUAAACAUACACGUCGAAAUUCAAGCUCUUCUAAUAUCUAGAAAAUGUGACAUAAAAAGAAAUUUCAGCACCAUGAUAGUGAACUGAUUUGAGUAAUCACUAAAUUGAUUGGCACUUUUAAACUUGUUAACCUAGAGCAAAAAUAAUAGAAAUGGACUCAAGAUAGAUAAGAAGAAAGCGAUGAACCAGAGAAAAUAACUAAGUUGCAAUAUUAGAAAAAUGUAAUAUGUUGUCUCUGUAGAAUUAAAAAGCACGUGGAAUCAGCAUCCUUUAGAAGUAAAUGGAAGAGACACGUACUCUUUUCAGUGCAAAAAUAUAUUGGUAACUGGGAAGUAUGUAAAAAACUGAAGAAGCAUUAGUUGAAAGUGAAUAAAGAAAGAGGUUGUUGUUGUCAUCUAACAUCACUGC